rnacentral:tRNA from 1 species
GCCAGCGUUGCUCUGACGGUAAGGGGCAACCUCCCUUUCAAGGAGGGUACGUCGCGGGUUCGAGUCCCGUCGCUGGUAC